UUUACCAAUUAUUUAUGUGCUAUCGCAUGCCAGAGUUUGUCUGAAUUGAUUUUCAUUGCAUACAAGAGAUUUGAGGCGUUAAUGACACUUGCCUGCCACUAAAAACAUUUUUUUAAAAUAAUAAUAAUACAAUAAUAAGCAUGACAUUUAUUGCAUUGCCAUGGGGAAAUUAAAAACCCCCAAAAUUAACUAGAGUCCAAGUAACUAUUAGCUCUUCAGAGCUAAUGUGUGAGUUAUAUACCCUGAAUGAGCACCAUAUGCCAGUUCAUUGUGGCACAGUGAGUCACAGGACACAUUGUGGAAAGCAAUAAUUGCUUGGCAUGCACUGAAGCACUCAGUAGGGCUUUUUGUUUGGUUUUCUUUAAGGAAUAUGUUUUACUCUGACAAUAAAAGGGGUAUUGUCUGAUAUGCUGCCAUCAGGGACUGUUGCUUAUUUUGUACUUAACCUGGAGCUUAUCUGUUUGUCACUCACCGCACACCCCCUCAGUACCUUUUGCUUUCCAACUGCUUGUAUUGUAUGUGUGCAGUGCCAGAAGAGUGAAGAGUGAGCCUUCCAUUUGGUAUCAGCUUGUCAUUCUGUAUUAAUCCUCCUCACCCUUUUCCUCCUCAUCUUCUUUCUUUGUCUGAUAGAGACAUUCAGAUUGUUUAUAUGGAAUAAAUGUUCAUCCUGAGCAGAGUGAAGCAGUGGGACGAGUUGCAUAGGGAUUGUACAGUCUCCACUCUUGGCCAGAGCUUGACCGGAUAAGACCGUCAGCAAGCCAGUCUGAUUUUGAGGUUGGCCCUUCUUUGAGCAGGAGGCUGGGCUAUGUGACCUCCAGAAAUCCCUUUUAACCUGAAUUACCUUAUGGUUCUGUUUAAUACCCACUUCCUGUACUGAUUCAGCCAAGGUGCUGGCACGUCAUUAACUCCUCACUCCCUGCUAGUAUCACUCUCAUUCAUACCUGCAUAGAACAGGAGCGACCUCCUGAAGGUCAGUGAGGUGACAGAGGUUUUACUUAUGGGAACAAUAUCAAGAUAUAAAUGGCGACCUCAAAUGAGAUUCGUCGGUGAAAUUUGGAUAUCUCUGAAAUUAUUUGGAAUUUGCAACAGAAUUUCACUUGAGUUCUCUUCAAAUCUUCAUGACAAAUCUCAUUCUCUAACAGCCUUGAAGAGAGCUUUGGGGUAUUUAGGAUUUAGUGAGUCACCAACUGCCCUCGCUGGGCCAUUACGUGCUGGUUUCCUCAUGCGGCCGUAACCACGUGAGGGAGUUAAUGCUGCACAGAGCAUCUGCUCCUCAGCUCAGGGCUCUCCCAGCCCUGCAGCUGUCUGCCAGAAAGCUGGGACGUGCACAGGGGCAUCUGCGAGCUCCAUCGGGUAGCAAAUUUUCAUGGUCGGCCCAUAUGUUAGCCAAAAAACACCCUUUGUCAGAACAAUGUUAUUUUAAUUGUGCUGAGAGAAAGCAAGAUCACACUCAGAUCCACCAUAUCAGCCCAGGGGAUUUUGAACAAUGAUGUAGCUAUUCUAGGGCAAAAAAAACCCUUCAGAAACUCCCUUGGUGGUAAAAAGAAAUAGGAAUAUUUCAUAGGGUUUCUCUUUCAGGUCUGACAAAAUAAGGUGCUUUUCCUUCAUCUCUCUACUUUAUCAACAGGUAUAUUGCUUAUGCAAACACCUGAUCUCCCAUCAGGUUCUGUCAGAAGUAAAGUUUGCAAAUGGGGCUGCCAGAGCAGAUUGAAGAAAGACUAAAUAUCAGCAACGAUAAGCUUUUGUUGUCCCCUUUUACACAAGGCAGGAUUCUAAAAUAAAGAUUUAACAGGAAAGACUUGCUUUCA